GUGAUUUCUCAUUGCAUUGGUUCACUAGGGGUUUGCGUAUUUUGGAAUCUUGUCUUACUUCUGCAUGCUUACUUACUAAUUUCUAAAUUAUGAUCUAAAUGAUUAUUAUUUCUUACUACACUGCAAUUGUAUAAACUAAUUUGUCAGUUGAAGUUUAUUCAUAAGUUAUAAUUACUUUUCUAUCAUCAAAAUCACGUGGUUGUCUCUUUGUAUGAUGGCACAUCAUCUUUGUCGCCCCACACAUUGUCCAUCCCUUCUAUCUCAUUCUUAUGUUCUUUCAGUUCACACUUAAUGGUCAAACUUCUAGAUGAUUCCGUUGUCUAAAGUGAUCAGUAUUAGAAAAGAACUUCUAGAUGAAUCCGUUUUUAGUAUCUAAUACAUCUUUUGUAGAAUCUGAUAUUCUUCCCCUGAUUGCAUGCUUAGCAUAUUCUUGCUUUCAAUUUUGCUAAUUUUGUUUUUGGGCAUGUCAACUGUUAAGCAAUGUCAGUUAUAUAUUUCUGCAGUGUGGAAAUCUGUAUUUAUGUAUGUGCCUACUUAUUUAUCUGUCCAAAUGUCAGGUUGCCUUUCUUGUUUAUGUCCAGCAGUGGAAGAAAAAAGUUGUAUUUGUUUUAAAUAAAUUGGAUCUUUAUCGAACAAGCAGUGAGCUUGAGGAAGCAACUUCCUUUGUAAAAGAAAAUGCAUGUAGACUGCUUAACUCAGAAGAUAUAAGGUUAUUUCCUGUAUCUGCACGGUCUGCUUUGGAUGCGAAGCUCUCCUCUUCAAGUUACAGUUCGGUAAAAUAUAAGGAAGCCUUGUUUAGUGAUAGUCGUUGGAUGAGCAGUCAAUUUUAUGAGCCGGAGAAGUUCUUAUUUAGUCUUUUAGAUGGAACAACAGAAAGUGGCUUGGAGAGAGUGAAGUUGAAACUUGAGACACCACUUGCUAUUGCUCACAAGCUAUUAUCUUCCUGCCAAGCACUUGUAAAACAAGAAUAUCAAAUUGCCUGUGAGGAUUGAUUUCAAUCACUGGAAUCCUUAGCAGUUUAAAAGACUAUUCUGCAAAAAUUAAGAGUGAUAGGAAGAGUAUGAAAUUGCCUGUUACAUGGAGGAAGAGUAUCACUUCUUUGAUUGAGACAACAAAAUCUCGAGCACUGAAGCUGACAUAUUCCCUCCUCAGAUUGUCAAAUAUUGAUCUUAUUCCUGCAUAUGCUUUGAAAGCAGAAAGAACUGGUUCUACCUUCACUAUCUCAACUUUCCAAAAUGACAUCAUUAAUCCUGCUCUUUCUGAUGCACGAGUAUGUUUUUUGUUAUAAUUUAUAAUUUCAGAUGUUCCUUUCAUUUCUUUUAAGCAUAAGCAUAGUUUCUAGUUCAAUUAAUGUACAUGGAAUUGGUUUAACUGAGCAUAUUAACUAUGAUUUUUUCUGCAUCUUCUUUAAGUAGGACCUUGUAAGUGUAGUGUGCAUGCUGCAUACUUCCAUGUGUAGAACUACAAGAAUUGCUGAAUAGUAUCAAUAUUAUACUUCCAUGUGUAGGAUCUUUGGUACGAAGUUCACUAUAUCUAUAUUAUACAAUCCUUCCCAUAAACAAUCAAAUUAUUUCAAAAAUAAAUAAAUAAAUAAAAACU